UACGGAGGAUGCGAGCGUUAUCCGGAUUUAUUGGGUUUAAAGGGUGCGUAGGCGGAAUAUCAAGUCAGCGGUAAAAAUUCAGGGCUCAACCCUGUCGAGCCGUCGGAACUGGGUGCCUUGAGUGGGCGAGAAGUAUGCGGAAUGCGUGGUGUAGCGGUGAAAUGCUUAGAUAUCACGAAGAACUCCGAUUGCGAAGGCAGCUCACUGGACUGCAACUGACACUGAGGCUCGAAAGUGUGGGUAUCAAACAGG
rnacentral:rRNA from 1 species